AGUGAAAGCUGGCGGCGUUCCUAAUAAAUGCAAGUCGAACGAAGUGGCGCACGGGUGAGUAGUAUAUAAUUAAUCUGCCCUACACAGAGGAACAACAGUUGGAAACGACUGCUAAUACCUCAUAGUUUAGGAUGCGACUAUAUAGUAUCAGCUAGUUGGUAAGGUAAUGGCUUACCACGGCUAUGACGCGUAACUGGUCUGAGAUGAUGAUCAGUCACAUUGGAACUGAGACACGGUCCAAACUCCUACGGGAGGCAGCAGUAAGGAAUAUUGCGCAAUGGGGGAAACCCUGACGCAGCAACGCCGCGUGGAGGAUGACACUUUUCUGAGCGUAAACUCCUUUUAUCAGGAAAGCGGUACCUGAUGAAUAAGCACCGGCUAACUCCGUGCCAGCAGCCGCGGUAAUUC
rnacentral:rRNA from 1 species